UUCUGGAGAAACCAAAACUGACUUUUGCUA
rnacentral:piRNA from 1 species